rnacentral:rRNA from 1 species
UUGACAUCCCGCGCUAUCACCAGAGAUGGUGAGUUCCCUUCGGGGACGCGGUGACAGGUGCUGCAUGGCUGUCGUCAGCUCGUGUCGUGAGAUGUUGGGUUAAGUCCCGCAACGAGCGCAACCCUCGUCCUUAGUUGCCAUCAUUAAGUUGGGCACUCUAAGGAAACCGCCGGUGAUAAGCCGGAGGAAGGGGGGGAUGACGUCAAGUCCUCAUGGGCCUUACACGCUGGGCUACACACGUGCUACAAUGGGGGUGACAGUGGGCAGCGACAUCGCGAGGGGUAGCUAAUCUCCAAAAGCCGUCUCAGUUCGGAUUGUUCUCUGCAACUCGAGAGCAUGAAGGCGGAAUCGCUCGUAAUCGCGGAUCAUCAUGCCGCGGUGAA